GUAGGGAAUAUUGGUCAAUGGACGAAAGUCUGAACCAGCCAUUCCGCGUGCAGGAAGAAGAUUCUAUGGAUUGUAAACUGCUUUUAGCAGAGAAGAAACGCCUUCAUUGAUGAGGGUUUGACGGUAUCUGCGGAAUAAGCACCGGCUAACUCCGUGCCAGCAGCCGCGGUAAUACGGGGGGUGCAAGCGUUAUCCGGAAUCACUGGGUUUAAAGGGUGCGUAGUCGGGAACUUAAGUCAGUGGUGAAAGUUUGUUGCUUAACGAUAGAAUUGACGUUGAUACUGAUUUUCUUGAAUUGGGUUGAGGUUAGCGGAAUGUGACAUGUAGCGGUGAAAUGCAUAGAUAUGUCAUGGAACACCAAUUGCGAAGGCAGCUAGCUGGGCCUUGAUUGACGCUGAGGCACGAAAGCGUGGGUAGCGAACAGGAUUAGAAACCCCUGUAGUCC
rnacentral:rRNA from 1 species